rnacentral:rRNA from 1 species
GCGGCCUAUCAGCUUGUUGGUGAGGUAAUGGCUCACCAAGGCGACGACGGGUAGCCGGCCUGAGAGGGCGACCGGCCACACUGGGACUGAGACACGGCCCAGACUCCUACGGGAGGCAGCAGUAGGGAAUAUUGGGCAAUGGGCGAAAGCCUGACCCAGCGACGCCGCGUGAGGGAUGAAGGUCUUCGGAUUGUAAACCUCUUUCAGUAGGGAAGAAGCGAAAGUGACGGUACCUAAAGAAGAAGCACCGGCUAACUAUGUGCCAGCAGCCGCGGUAAUACAUAGGGUGCAAGCGUUGUCCGGAAUUAUUGGGCGUAAAGAGCUCGUAGGUCGUUUGUCGCGUCGAUUGUGAAAAUCUGAGGCUCAACCUCAGACCUGCAGUCGAUACGGGCAAACUAGAGUGUGGUAGGGGAGACUGGAAUUCCU